UGAAUGGCUUGACGAGAAAUCAACUGUCUCUUAAUAAUUUUUAAAAUUUAACUUUUGAGUCAAAAGGCUUAAAUUUUUCUUUAGGACGAGAAGACCCUAUAGAGCUUAACAUUUUAUUUUUAUAUAGUUUUUAGUUGAUCUUUCUAUAUUUAAUGAUAAUGUUUUGUUGGGGUGACAUGAAGAAUAAUUAAACUCUUCAUUAUAAAAUCAUUGAUUUAUGUUUAUCAUGAUCCAUAAUUUAUGAUCAUAAGAUUAAGUUACCUUAGGGAUAACAGCGUAAUUGUUUUCAAGAGCUCAUAUCGACAAAGCAGAUUGCGACCUC
rnacentral:rRNA from 1 species